rnacentral:rRNA from 1 species
AUUGAACGCUGGCGGCAUGCUUUACACAUGCAAGUCGAACGGUAACAGGCCGCAAGGUGCUGACGAGUGGCGCACGGGUGAGUAAUGCAUCGGAACGUGCACAGUCGUGGGGGAUAACUACUCGAAAGAGUAGCUAAUACCGCAUACGAUCUAUGGAUGAAAGCGGGGGACCGUAAGGCCUCGCGCGAUUGGAGCGGCCGAUGUCAGAUUAGGUAGUUGGUGGGGUAAAGGCUCACCAAGCCAACGAUCUGUAGCUGGUCUGAGAGGACGACCAGCCACACUGGGACUGAGACACGGCCCAGACUCCUACGGGAGGCAGCAGUGGGGAAUUUUGGACAAUGGGCGCAAGCCUGAUCCAGCAAUGCCGCGUGCAGGAAGAAGGCCUUCGGGUUGUAAACUGCUUUUGUACGGAACGAAACGGCUCUGGUUAAUACCCGGGGCUAAUGACGGUACCGUAAGAAUAAGCACCGGCUAACUACGUG